rnacentral:rRNA from 1 species
UGGGGAAUAUUGCACAAUGGGCGCAAGCCUGAUGCAGCCAUGCCGCGUGUGUGAAGAAGGCCUUCGGGUUGUAAAGCACUUUCAGCGGGGAGGAAGGCGAUAAGGUUAAUAACCUUGUCGAUUGACGUUACCCGCAGAAGAAGCACCGGCUAACUCCGUGCCAGCAGCCGCGGUAAUACGGAGGGUGCAAGCGUUAAUCGGAAUUACUGGGCGUAAAGCGCACGCAGGCGGUUUGUUAAGUCUGAUGUGAAAGCCCCCGGCUCAACCGGGGAGGGUCAUUGGAAACUGGGAGACUUGAGUGCAGAAGAGGAGAGUGGAAUUCCAUGUGUAGCGGUGAAAUGCGUAGAUAUAUGGAGGAACACCAGUGGCGAAGGCGGCUCUCUGGUCUGUAACUGACGCUGAGGCUCGAAAGCGUGGGGAGCAAACAGG